rnacentral:lncRNA from 1 species
AGAAGCAGAAGAGGGAAUCUGGGUUAUUACCUAGUAAUGAUGCAUGUGGUGGAGCAUGAUAGCACUUAACAAAUGGAUUAACACCACCAGAUUGAAAGGUAGAAGGUGAAAAAGUACUUUUGUUAACAACUGAUCCCAACAAAAAAAGCAGAUUUUUUUGGAUUAGGGUUUUGGACCUUCCCAAAUUUUGUGCUGCCAUUGCAAUGAUUGAGCAUUCACAAGAGAAGGAGCUAGAAGGAAGGUAUAAUAGGAAUAAUGAAAUGAAAGAGUUGUGAUUAAUAAUGGUGGAGUGGGAGAGACAAAUGGACAAGUUUAACUCUGAUACGUACUUAUCUGAGCUGGUGUUGUCGUAUAAUUAUGGGAGUGUGACAAAGUCAAAGUUUGUCCUAAAGAGGAUUAGUGGAACCCAAAAUCAAUCCUGAGUUUGAAUCUUGGACCCAUUUGUUAAAAUUUAAAGUACUAACCACUGUACCAAAAAAUAUUGUUAUGAAAUGUGACUUGCUUAUUAUAUAUUAAAAAACAUGUUAUAAAGUUGAUUUGAGUCAAACAGUUGUUCCAAAACUACUUCUUAAUUUGAUUUUUUUCUACAAACAAGUUUAAUCACUUUUAGAAUUUUGGAGCAUGGGUCUGCUUCUUCUAAUAAAUGUUGUUCAUAUAAACUAAAUUUCAGUAUCUUACAUCACAGACCAACAAACAAAAAUAAAUACUACAUAAUUCAUAUCUAAUUGAUAUUUAACUUAUUAUAUAUAUAUAUAUAUAUAUUAGAUCCUAAAUUGAUAUUGUUGGUUAAAGCCUAGAGGUCUGUGAUACAUAUAUACAUAACAUAUUAAACCACUAUAUUAAUAUAUAUAUAUAUAUAUAUAUAUAUAUAUAUAUAUAUAUAUAACAUUCAUACAAACACAACCAACAAACGUGAAGCAAGUUACAAAUGCAUGAUGUGUAAAGAUAUAUAUGUUAUCUUUUGUGUUGGGGUAACGUGGGAUCCAACAUUGUUGUUAUCUGUUGUUAUCUUCCACUUUGAGUAUCGUCCAUUAAGUAGGAAUGUAUAUCCUCUAUCCCAACUCUAUCUCCUCUUCACUCUACCUCCAUUUAUAUAUAUUUGCCUGUAAAAUGUGAACAUUAUAUUAUUUAAUUUAAUUAUUACUAAACCUUAAAAUACUUUUAAUGUCGUUUAUCUGAGUCAUUAACGCUAUUAAAGUGCAUAAGAAAAGGUAGGAACAAAUUCCAUGUAUUUAUUUUGAUUUAAGGAAGGUAUAGUCAAAAUUGAUUAGCCAUAAAACACUUGUAAUUUUCCAUAACACCUCCAUCACUUGGUGCUCCAUUGGAUCCAAUCAAUCUCUUAAAGCAUCAUAAAAGAGUAAUCUUGUUUGCAAUUUGUUCAACUUUCAAUUUCUCCUCAUCUUUGAAUGGAAACUGAAUUGAAUCUACUAAGUUGGUAAUUCGCAAUGCAACAGAUCAGUGAAUUAGUUCUACUACUAAGCCACCAUUGAGUUUUGCUGCAGUGAUGCAUUUGAUUUUCAGUUAAUUGAUUGUUGAGGUUGCAGGAGAAUUGAUUAAUGAAAGAAUACAAAAGGUCAUGAAUUCAUAAUUUGGAGAUUUAUAUCAAUGAGAUGACCUAAAAUAAUGGAUCCCCAUAUAUUAUAUUAUAUCAAAGAUGAAAGGUUCAAUUUCUAAAAAUAACAUUUAUUAAUAAGGACAUUUAUGCACUUAAAAGAGUUUAGUCCAUUAUUUAUAACAUCAUUAAUAUUUUUAGUUAUACUAAAAAAAACUUGGAAAUUAGUAUCACAAUUAUGAAAUCAUCCAAAAAAAAUUAUGAGAAAUAGAAAAUUUGUUAUAUAUAUCAGAAGAGGGAAUCUGGGUUAUUACCUAGUAAUGAUGCAUGUGGUGGAGCAUGAUAGCACUUAACAAAUGGAUUAACACCACCAGAUUGAAAGGUAGAAGGUGAAAAAGUACUUUUGUUAACAACUGAUCCCAACAAAAAAAGCAGAUUUUUUUGGAUUAGGGUUUUGGACCUUCCCAAAUUUUGUGCUGCCAUUGCAAUGAUUGAGCAUUCACAAGAGAAGGAGCUAGAAGGAAGGUAUAAUAGGAAUAAUGAAAUGAAAGAGUUGUGAUUAAUAAUGGUGGAGUGGGA